GUUUCCGUAGGUGAACCUGCGGAAGGAUCAUUGCACACACGAGUUGCAGCCAACCCGCGGCGAACGAACACACUGUCCCCCCGGCGGGUCGUGGCGCCUCGCGGCGUCGCGGCCGGCCACCUCCCUUCGCCACGCGCGUGCUGGCGCGCGCGCGGCGGCGUCGGGCGUUCCACGAUGCAUCCACCCUGUGUGACUGAGUCCGAAUUCGACUCCUCGCGAGUCGGAACGCAACUGAAAAAGAACAACUCUCAGCAACGGAUAUCUUGGCUCUUGCAACGAUGAAGAACGCAGCGAAAUGCGAUACGUAGUGUGAAUUGCAGAAUUCCGCGAAUCAUCGAGUCUUUGAACGCAAGUUGCGCCCGAGGCUUGUCCGAGGGCAUUUCCGCUAGAGCGUCACCGCGCCCCCCACCGGCCCACCCCACCCCGAUCGGGAGUUGGAGUUGGUUCGAGUGAAAGUGGCCGUCCCGGUGGAGUCGCCUCCUGGUCCCGUCCCGCGAGGGAAGGGGAGGAGCGCGUGGCCGAGGGUCGGCUGAAAUGGAAGGGGUCGGGCCGCCGUGGCGACACAGUCCGCGAUCGGGUGAUCCGAGCUCCUCCUGGAGCCCGGAGUUUUCUAAGUGUUGGCUGCGUCGCCCAGUCGGCUUGUGGACCCUUUGGCAGGUCGAGCGCGCCCCCGCGGCGCGCGUCACGCAUCAGACCUCUAAUCGGAAAAGACUACCCGCUGAG
rnacentral:rRNA from 1 species